rnacentral:lncRNA from 1 species
CAAUCUUUGCAGGCGACCACAGCGUGGCACGGUGUGUGGUAGGCCGCAGCAGUGAGGAAUGUUGUGGCUAGAGGAGUUUCUGCUGCUGGUUGCCCUGUGCUGGCUGUGCUGUUGCUUGGCAGCGGAACGUGGCGGGACGCAUGGCGGGCCGUGCCUGUACAAACCGACCCGCCCCGGCCACCGUAUGUCCGGGAGAUGAGAUAGACGCUUGCAGCCUCAGACUGGAGACGUAGCGUGGGCUCAGCCCACUUUUCCUGUCCUCAAAACGCGUAAUAUUACUUGCUAUUUCCUAUUGUAGAAAAAUAGGCAGCAGGUAAAACUCGGCCGGAGUGAGAAGCGACCUCGCGCGUCCAUGGACUUUAAUUGACUGGCGACUGUGGCGACUCGUUGCGAGGUAAAGGGCCCGAGGUGCAGAAUUAAGAGGAAAGUCAUACUGGACUACACCAGGCAAAAGACCACCGCGCAAACUAGGUACCAAGUCUACUGAACCAGCCAGUUUUGCCUGCGUCAGGGGUGUGGGGCUGAGUCCCAGGCCGUCGGCUGUGGCUGCAGGCACGGCUAAAGGAGCAGCCGGCGCUCAAGCGCUGUCAGGCGGGGAUACCCAGCGCGCGGGUGGCGUCAGCAGCUGACCAUGAGCGGCGAAUACGCUACCUCUACUCUGGAGGUGGCGUGGACGCGGCGGCGGCGGCCGGGUCUGCGCCUGCGCCGGUGCAACAGUACGGGCUGUGGCACCUACUCCGUUUCUACCGGCAGUGGGGCCAGCGGCGGUGGCGCCUGACUGUCCAUGUGCGGACGCAGAAGGUGGGGGUUGAGGGGAGGGGGCCAGAACAAGACGCUUACCUGGCCGCCACAUCCGACACCUGGAAGCACUUCAGUGAAACCUACCGCACCAAAGCCCUCACCACCACCAACACCCUGUAUGGACACCAGGAGCGGGUGCAGCACGUAAUAGCCCGCACCACCAGCAAAGGUUCGCCGUACUACCGAGUCCAGUGGGAACCCACCGUCAUCACCCCCGGCUCCCUCACCCUCUACGCCCGCAACCGCUACCGCCCCAAACCCGGCGGCCUUACCUGGCUCCUUACCCCAGGCAACGAACCUCGCGUCCUGGUGGAAUGGGAAGACCUGGAAGAACCCGCCGCUACCCUGGAGGCACAAGACAACAAACAAGAACUCCUGGACGCCCUGCACGCCCGCCUUGCUGUCCCCCUGGCCCCCCGCCCCCCGGCCCCCGCUAGCGACACGCACCUAAACCCUGACCAGCGACAGGGCCGCUGGACAGAUGCCAGCAACGACACUGCACGAGGGCAACGCACUCUGCGCCACUACGUCGACAUCAACGUCGAGCCAUGCAACCCCCGCCGAGACAUCCGCCCCACACAAACAUACACCAUCCAGCUCGGUAUUCUCCCCGACCCUGGCUCCACGGCACACAGCACUCACCUGGCGCAUGUGUACGACCCCCGCGGACGGUGCAUGGGCACCAUCAGCGCAGAGCGGCUCAACCUCCUCUGGCAACGCUACCAGCAUGCACAAACAACCUGGCCCGAAGCGCACGCCAAAUACGACCAGGGCAGAGGCUUUGCGGCGGCCAUCGCCCGCCUGCUCCUCCGAUACAAACCCGGGGGCGGCUCCAAAUCCCACCCUGUCACUGAAAAAGGAGAACGCAUUCUGUGCGACGGAUUGACACAAACCCUGCACACGGCAAUAGGCUUCGUGUCGCGCACAUUCGCGUUCGCAUUUCGACAGCACUCCGCUAAUAGGCAGCACAACAGAGCUCUUCGCAUCACCCCUUAACGUCUCGGAAGCCGCCACCACCUACUACACACUGUACGAAGAAGACAUGCUCUUUGGGGCCAACUAUGACGCGUACUCCCAGCCAUGGGAUGGAAUUGCUGUCGCCUACCCCGAACCCAACACCGAAGACGGAGCUCACGCGGUCCGAUGGGCACUGGCAUGGGCCGAACACACCGAAACCCUUACAAACACCCGCAACCCGCCAACCACUGCCACGCUGAUCAUCCUCCCCACCCAACGCAACGCGCCAUACACACGAUACCUCGCCCACCCCAGUGUCACACUCCUUGGCAGCAUUUCCGCCACAGCAACACACGCCCUUCUCGGCCAGAUCCACAACGACGCAGGCAUCACCUUAAAACAUGACCUGGUGCUGGUCAGCAAUACACCCGGAGCCCAACUCGCCCAGCCCAUACGCGACGCCCUAAGCACGUCUCUAUACCUCUCAGGCAUGCCCGUCGAACCGCAGCCCCAACUCACCUGGGCCCACACACGGUGGGUGACCAAACAGGUCCGCCGGAUGACCCGCACCCGCCCGGCAGCCCCCCGAGUAACACCCCCUCCCGUACCGGCCACGCCAGCCACCCUGGCCCCGUUCGCGGCCACCCAACCCCUACGCCUCAAUCCCUGCGAAGGCUUCUACACCGAUGGCUCAGUACAGAAAGACGCCCUUGGUCAGCCCAGCGCGUGGGGGGCCGCAGCGAUCGAUGCCCGCACGUCCCAAACGUAUCAGAUCGACGUCAACCCUGGACAACACGGCUGCAACACCAUAACAAGAUGCGAGCUCUCGGCCAUACACCAAGUGCUCAAGCUCGACGAAGUGCAAGCGCUCCCCGAAGUCACAGUUUACACCGACUCCGCUGCGUCGCUAUUCCUCAUCCGCAAAACAAUCAACCAGCCCCAACUCCUUACCUUCAGCAAACACAAAGCGCUGCUGGAUAACAUCCUCGCGCUCCUGAAACGCCGCUCCCACGCCGGCCGCCGGACAAACCUCCUCAAGGUCAAAGCACAUUCAGGGAUCACGUACAAUGAACUCGCAGAUCAGGCGGCGGUGAAAACCGCCAAGGGAGAAGAGAUGCCCGGGGCCGAGUGGCUGGUCGAGGAGUCCGAUAACGACCCGCGUAGUAAAUACUACUGGAUACGUAAAACUAUCAAACCGACUGUGGAAGGGGUGCCACGAGAGAAGAACGAAGGACACUACGCGCAUGACCUCAACCGCGGCAUCGCCACGCUCGCAGCCCCGCACAUCGCCCAAGGCCACACCCGCGAAACCCUCUACACUGGUUUCGUAGCCAACGCCAUCCCAGACCUGGAUAUCAAAUCCAGCACCCGAACCCUGAACCUGCAAUCAGGCCGACACCGCAAGGCCAAACGCUGCAUGGACUACUUAUACGGGCAACUGUGGAACAACAAACUCGCAGCCCGCUUCGGCCGCACAGUUACAGGCCGCCGAGCCCCCCGCGCUGGCCCCGAUACCCCCGCCCCAUGCCCACUCUGCCGCGGACCCGACUCCGGCGGCCACAUAAUGGGAGGCUGCCACAACCCCCAACUCCGUGCAAUGUACAUUAAACGACACAACAUUGCAGUCCAGGCCAUCGCACGAGCCAUCUCCCGCGGUGACUGCGGCGGCUGCUACAUGGUAAUGGACGCCACGUCUAAAGCCGAUCUGCCAGACUACGCGGCUGACAACCGCUUGCCGCCAUGGCUGCUCCCCGACCAGGAGGGCAAACCAGCAGGACGCCACCUACACUACCGCCCCGACAUCCUACUAAUUCCUUCCAUCUCCCUCGCCGCAGCCCUAAACCCAGACUUUGUCGUGCUGCCCAGCGAACACGACACCAUCCACAUCAUCGAAGCAGGAUACACCGCCGACACGAACCACGCCGCCAAGCAACACGAAAAAGCACAACAGCACCAGGCCCUUGCAGCCGACCUGCGGGAAGCGGGAUGGAAAGUGCAAUACACCCCACAGAGUGCCAUCAGCCUCGGGUUUGCAGGUACAAUCCACAAAGAUCUCCACCCCCUCCUCACCUCCCUGGGCGUCACCUCCCACAAAGCGAGGCAGUGCUGCGACACCCUACACGACCACGCAGUCGCCACCCUCAACCACAUAGUCCUGACCAGACGGCGCCUCGAACGGGGACUGCCAACCGGCAACCCAGAAGGGAUGUAGCAUCCCGGCGGGGCGCAGGCCUAGCCUGCACGCCCGCCCGCCGCCAAAUGCUCGGUAGUGGGGGCGUACAGGAGGUGGGUCUGACCCACCUCCUCAUCUCCCCCCACUCCCUUAAUCCACACCACUUGCCUACGGCAGGGUGUAUCUAUUUCUAUUUCUAUUUCGCGCGGCGCCGCCCGAGAACCGGCGCCGGCGCGCGGUUGAGACCUGCCGGUAUCUGGUUUGCAAUCUUUGCAGGCGACCACAGCGUGGCACGGUGUGUGGUAGGCCGCAGCAGUGAGGAAUGUUGUGGCUAGAGGAGUUUCUGCUGCUGGUUGCCCUGUGCUGGCUGUGCUGUUGCUUGGCAGCGGAACGUGGCGGGACGCAUGGCGGGCCGUGCCUGUACAAACCGACCCGCCCCGGCCACCGUAUGUCCGGGAGAUGAGAUAGACGCUUGCAGCCUCAGACUGGAGACGUAGCGUGGGCUCAGCCCACUUUUCCUGUCCUCAAAACGCGUAAUAUUACUUGCUAUUUCCUAUUGUAGAAAAAUAGGCAGCAGGUAAAACUCGGCCGGAGUGAGAAGCGACCUCGCGCGUCCAUGGACUUUAAUUGACUGGCGACUGUGGCGACUCGUUGCGAGGUAAAGGGCCCGAGGCGCAGAAUUAAGAGGAAAGUCAUACUGGACUACACCAGGCAAAAGACCACCGCGCAAACUAGGUACCAAGUCUACUGAACCAGCCAGUUUUGCCUGCGUCAGGGGUGUGGGGCUGAGUCCCAGGCCGUCGGCUGUGGCUGCAGGCACGGCUAAAGGAGCAGCCGGCGCUCAAGCGCUGUCAGGCGGGGAUACCCAGCGCGCGGGUGGCGUCAGCAGCUGACCAUGAGCGGCGAAUACGCUACCUCUACUCUGGAGGUGGCGUGGACGCGGCGGCGGCGGCCGGGUCUGCGCCUGCGCCGGUGCAACAGUACGGGCUGUGGCACCUACUCCGUUUCUACCGGCAGUGGGGCCAGCGGCGGUGGCGCCUGACUGUCCAUGUGCGGACGCAGAAGGUGGGGGUUGAGGGGAGGGGGCCAGCAGAUGCAUCCACACCAACUGCACUGCGCUGACGCUACACCAAUGCCACGGGUACAGGUGCUGGAGCACACGGCGCAGCAGCUGGCUGGUGGAAGGCCCAAGGAGGAGGUCAUUGUUGGCUGGGGCAACGCCAACACUGGCUAUGGCGGUUGCAUCAGCAGGUUGGGGCGGGGCCCAAACCGGGCACUGCUCCGCCUGCUGGUGGACAAGUACGCGCACCUGGUGGUGUACGUGGACGAGUUCUACACAUCGCAGGCAAGAUGAGAGCAGACGGGUUGGAAUGAGUAGACAGGUGGUCGGGUGGACAGGAUGGGGCUCGUGUACAGGUAGCCGGGUAGCCAGCAAGGUUCACACUGUACUCCUGCCCCCUCCCUCCCCAGGUGUGUGCGAAGUGCGGGCGGCGCUUAC